ACAAGAUAGCUUUCCAAAAAAGACAAACAAAGGCACUUUUAAGAGCCAUUCUCUCUCUCGCUCUCUCUCUCACACUUUCUCUCUCUUUCUCACACUCACAGACACACACACACACACACACACACACACACACACACACACACACACACACACACACACACACACACACACACACACACCUGUAUUUUAUCUGUAUUGUGUGUCAAUUGUCCAGCGAUGUUCAAAAACCAGAAGGUUUGUUCUGAUGCCGUUGAGAUCAGGGACCAUAUGGCUUCUGAAAUCAGUAAUGCGCUACUCCUUGAGGCCCGGGUGAGACCAAUUUCAUCAGCUUACUUCCAUUUGUAUGAACUUUACCAUUGCUGUUGUUUGAGUAAUCCAAUGUAAAGUAUAACUUUACAGUCUGAUAUUGUAUCUGAAAAUGUUGCUGUUAUUGUCAUGUAGGCAGCAAUGGGAGACUCCCACUUUCCUCCAAAAAAGAAGAGGAGAAAGAAGAGUGCAGUCAAAAAAAAGAAAGUGGUCACGAGCCGACUUCAGAAACGUCAGAAAUCACCCAGACGUGCAUCAGAUUCCGUGAACCCAGUGAGUGAGGAAGUCCAGCUCGAAGGAAUUGAAUCGACUGCAAGUCUUGGUUCUCCAUCCAUCCAGCUAUUGGGUCACCAAUACCGGAGUUCUCGGCCAACUCCAACUUGAGGGAUUGUAGUCCAGCCAAUGCCCUGGCCACGGACCCAUCUGGUGGCACAUGUACUUUUCUGCCUGGUAGACCCGGUCCAUCCUGUUGUUGUUGGUGGUUUAGGCGGUGGGUACCUAGCGAUGUUGUCUCCCGCUCCUUCUUGGAACAGGACUACCAGAAGGAAUCCUACCAGGUAAUUUUCCAAGGGCACGCUGUAGCCCAUCGUCUUCGGAUGAGGAGUGUUUGUCCUUGGCUUGGAGUGCAGCUAGGUCGGUCAGGGUCUCAGUCCACGAUCUGCCAGGAGUAUCUGCUUUGCGGCACCGGCUCAGGUGGUGCCACUGGGCCCCGCGUCGGUCCUCUACAGAAACAGAAAAGGGUGUGGCCAAGAGUACCUUGUAUGGCCCCUCCCACCGGUCU